AACAAAAACGUUAACAUUUCAUCCACAGGUUGUCACAUGUGUUCACUGUGUGAUGACAGCGUUACGUCUGCACGCAGUACACUGGCAUGUCAGCGCUAACAUGCUAACGCGGAGCAGAUACACACCGAGCUAGCCAGCGUUAGCUUCAUGUUGUAAACAACCAUGGAGACUGGCUAACGAUACAUGCCACGUAUUUAGCUUGACAACCAGCGCUACCCUUUAGUAACGAGACAGAUUAGUCGUGGAAGAGCACAGCUGGGAUGUAAAAGCCUGAAAAGCAAUGACAUGAAGGGCGGCUGUCAGACAGAGACCGAGGCAGCCAGAGAAGUUCUUGGUGCUACUAUAGCUGACAGCAGGAGGGGGGGGGUUGUUGCCGUGAUUGGACGAGCGACCACAGACGCCCGUCAUGCAGAGAGGGGCAGCCGGGCUCACAGGUGCACAGCAUCUGACAGAUAAUAGCAGAUAAAAUGCGGGCUAACCUGCAGCUUGCUCCUCGCUGAGGGAGGGGAAACCUGUGGUGGUGGGUGUGCGAGUUAGACGAGGAGGGGGCAGGGACACGUUGAGGGGCUCUGACAACUAACAGCCUUUACUUAACCACACACCAGCCAGAAAAGACACAUAUUCACACACAAACACAGGAGUCAAGGACAGACAAGGUCACAAUCCCAAAUCCCUCCACCGAAUCUCUCCUGCAGCUUACUGUACACAUGGAAGAGGUUAAGAUUGAUUUGGGGCUUAAUACAAAGUGUUUGCGCAGCUGUUGUGUCUGAAAAAACACAUCAAAACCCAGCAGUCGUCUUAUUAGCUUUUUUUUCUCUCUUCGCUGUUUCUUGCUGCUCUUUUAUUACCCUUGUAUUAAUUCCAGUUGAAAGAGCUGUGAGUCUCCCAAGUACAAUAAAAUGUGUUUAUUGCACUGAGCCUUUUCACUUGUGUCUUCAUUUUAUUUCAUGUUUUUAUUCAUUUCCAAAUCUGCUUUUCAACUUAGCAAGCAAAUCUAAACUAAAUGCAAACACUAUUUCAUUUGUUCAAGAUAUAUAAACAUUGACCCAAACUUAUUUACAUCUGAAGUAAAAGAAAAACAACAACGGAACAUUUGACUGCAGUCAUUUCACCUUAUGUUAAUUAUCUCAAAUCUUCCUGGCACUAACUGGCCAGGUUGCUUGCUACACUCCACACAUAGAAAAUACAUUGUAAAAAAUAUAGAAUCACAACAUCUCACGUCCUGUCUUUUAACAGGACACGCAUACACCCCCUGUGUAAAAGUAUGCCACAUGUCACGCAUCUCCUCUGCCUGUCCAGAUGCAGGAUGCCAGCUGACGUGACGAUGGGAAACAGUCUGUGUGUCACUGCUGAAACACAUUAAGUUCUGUGGAGGAGAAAACAGUCAGGACGAAUCUGGCAAUCAGCUGCAGUGUGGCCUGAGACACACAACCUGACAACUUCUGUUCUCUCUGGGCUGCUUGCGACAAAGAGACAGGCAGGCAGGAGGGGGGUUAAAGGUGCUUUUUUUUUUUUUACUGUCCCAAAUAUUAACUCACUACAUUUGCAGGAGUCUGCUGAAGCUUUCAGUAGAAACACUGAAGCUGAAACUGACUGCCGACCCACCAGUGAAAGCAGAGCAAUUAAAGGCAGAGUAUCCGUACAGAAAUCAAUAAAGUCUAUAAUGUUUUUUUAUACAUACAGGACUCUGCAUGAGCAUAUGUGCUCUAGAAACAGAUCUGACAGAAGGAGGCACGGACUGAGAAAAGGUAGAUAAUGACCUUGACCUUGGCAGUGGGUAACUACUGGCAACACAUAAACCUGCAUUAAAUAUUCUCAUAAGAGCAAUUUGGCAGAAUGGCAGGUUAUAACAUGAUCCAUUUUCUCAUUAUAAGUCACACAUAUCCAUAUUGUUUGCCCAGAAGCUACAAUAUUUAGCAUCGUCUAGGCUCUAAAGCACAGAGGAUGCAGUAGGUUGUGAAUAACUGUGAUGCAGCGGUUGUUUGGAGGGAUAAAGUCCUGGCCCCACACACACACAGAACCACACACACACACACACACACACACACACACACACACACACACACACACACACACACACACACACACACACACACACACACACACACACACACACACACACACACACACACACA